rnacentral:lncRNA from 1 species
UGGGAUCCAACAUUAGUAGGUGUAAAAUGACACUGAUGGCUCUAUUAGUCCUUUUGUUAUGUUAAGAGGCAAACGCAUUCUAUAGAAAUGAUUUUCGUAUGCAAAAAAUAGUAGAUUCCACUCUUCAAGAAAUAUUAUUUUAUUCAAAAUAUUAUUAUGUUUUCUCUCUUCCUCUUGCUUUACCUUUCUCUCAUUUUCUCAAUUUUCUUCAUUAGCUUUCAUAACCUUCUUCUUUCAACGCUACAUCUCCUUACAAAAUUCUUUGUUCUCUCUUUGUGAUUUGUCCUCUCUUGUUCACAUGCAUUCAAGAAUUAACCGGCGCUACGAUGGUGAAGAUGCAACAUCUCCUCUCACCAUAAAACUCCCCCCCCCCAAAUCGCUUCUUCCUCAAACCUUAGGAUUUUGAGCGAAAUCAAAGAUUAGGAUUACAUUAACUCAUAGUCUCACAUCACAUUAUUGUUCUGUACUUUCAAUGGAAACGUUCUUUAUCCAGUUCGUCUCGCUAUCUCCAUGGAGAUCCAUUGGGUAUGAAAAGAUAAUAUAAUAAUUAGUCAGCUAACAUUAGGUCAGCGACUGGUGUAGAUUCAGUGUGAAGGAUUUGGUUACAACCAUUCCGCAUGUACAAUACGGUUAUAGAGAAUUUCCUCGACACUAAUAUUAGGCGUACGGAUUAUUGGAUGUAUAAAGAUUCAUAUAUUCGGCUAAACUUAAUAUUAGCUAUGAUUUAAAUAACUGUUGGCUGGAUAAAAUAUUUUAAGUAUAGUUAACACUUUUAUUAGCUGUCGUUUUAAAAAAUCGUACAAAUUGGAUAAUCCUCGAAAACAAUAAUACACUAAUAUUUACUAUUAUUAUCAUAUGUAAUCUGUUCACAUAGCUUGCUAACAACGUUAUCCAUCCUGUUUAAUAAAAUAUGUAACCGUCUAUUAUAUUUGGUGCUCAUAUAGCUUGCUAACAAAAUAUGUAGCAAAAUAUGUAACUGUCGAAUGACCCACUUGGCUACAUUGCACGAUUAAAAUAUUUGGGGUUGAUUCGCGAGGAUGUUCUGUAAAUCUAAAAUGUUGGGGGUCAAAUUGAAAAGAACUAGAACGCUAGGGACCUAUCGUUCAAAAACAUAGAAAGUCACCAUUGGAUAGAUCAACCUUUCUCUUCGCCGGAUUUUGAGCUUGAUGGAGAUGACAAGGAGGAGCAUGAUGGCAAGUCUUGAAUUCGGAGCAUGACGACGUCGGUAGAUCAAAGCGACUAAAUAUCCGGUGACGAAGGAGAAUAGGAAAUCAGGUGGACUUACAAACAGAGCGGAGAACAGGGAAUCGGGUGGGACUUCAUAAUCUUUUAACUAAGAGUUUGACGGAGAAAACAAUGUGGAUUUUUUUAGAUGAAAAAAAGAUGUAAGAGAAGAAGAACUGAAGAGUAUUGAUUAGUGUGAACAUGCAACAACUCUUUGUUGUAUAUGUCGCUUAUUAUAGGUUAGGUAGGUGUUUAGUAGACCAAUAUAAUAUAGGUUGUAUUGUAGCAAGAAUAGGGAUAGAAAUGUCAUUUAAAAAAAACACAUCAGCAAGAAAAACCAACUUCCAUCUGUGCAAAUUAUGGGGUUAUGUUUGUAGACGGAGUGCAGUUACUAUAAAUUUUAAACCCUACACUCUAAACUCUAAAUCAUAAACCUCCAUCCACAAAAAAACUAAAUCAUAAUUCUCAACCAAUUAACCUUAGUGGUAUGUAUAUAUUUAUAUAUUUUAAUGAAUGCUAGUAUGAUCAUUUUUCUUUUUUAUCUGUGUUAUUUUUAUGUCAUUAUGGCGGUAUUUCUCUUGUUUUAUUAUUCAAAAAUAUAAUUUUAUAUAUAGUUUAUUUAUUAAUUUAAACUUAUCUUGCAUUUUUACGGUCUUAAUAUUUUAUAAAUAAAAUGAUCUAAUUUUUUUUUCAAUCUGUCUUUUACUUGAUAUAUAUUUUACGUAUUUGAUCGUACAAUAAGCAAAAUAGUAAUCAUAUAAAAAUCAAUAAAAAUAUAAUUAUCAUUUAUUAGAAAUGGAUAUAUUAAAUAUCAUAUUUUCAUUUUCAUUAUGUAUAUUAAUUGAAUUAAUAAUAAUUUAAUACUAAAUACAAAUUAUGUAAUUAAUUAAAAGUACAUAUUAAAAUUAUUAAUAUAAUUCAAAGACAUAUUCAUUCAAAAUUUCCAAUAGAUUUUGAAAUAUUUUUAUUAAGAUAAAAUGUAUAAAAAUAUUAGAGUAUCUUUUUAUUAAAUUUGAAACGAAAAAUAUUCAAAUUUUACAUAGCCGGAUUAUCAUGAUAAUAUCUUUACUUUUUUCAAAAUGGAUAGUUACAUGGACAAGUACAAGUAGGAUAAUGUGAGAGGGAAGUGUUGCCAUAACUUCACAACAAAUUGUAUGGUAUGUUGUAGGCUUGUAUUUAGAUAGUAAUUCAAAAGACAUUUAUGGAGUAUAUAUGUGUAAAAAUAAUUUAUAUGGAGUUCUAAUUUAUGCAUUGUGGUUCUAGUUUAAAUAUGCAUAUCAUUGUUAUUUGAACAUCAAAAUUUGGUUUUUGGUGAUUCUAAUUUAUGCAUUAUUAUUGUUUGCAAUUGCAUAGUUGGCAGCAAUAAAGUGAAUGUCAAAUGUCUGAAUGGUUCUGUUGCAGGCUGGGAUCCAGACUACUCAAUGGCUAGACUGAGAUUCAAGAGAUCGGACUGGACAGGACGAACGAAUGGAAAAGGGAGCGGCUAGAUGGAUGCGAUGGAGAGAGGAUCGGCCGGUUUGUACCUGAAAUAAGAGAGAAUGAUUUUUAUGAGUUUUUUUAUGGAUUAAAAAUGAAGAACAUAAAGUAAAUUAACUGAGAAAUAAAGAACAAAAAUAAAUAUGAAUUUUUAUGGGUUUUUAUUUUAAUGGCCGAUCUGAAAUAAAAGAUGCAAUGAAACAAAAACAAGAGAAGGAUAGAGAUGGCUGAUGGAUUCAAGUUGCUGGACGUGUGUCUCUCUCAACAAGAACAGGGGAUGGAGAUGGCGUGAAGAUGGGAUCUGGCUUGCUGGACUGAAGUCUCUCUCAAGAUGGAUCGGUGGAUGGUAUGGCAUGAGGAAUCGCCACAAGCUUGGUGGUGGAAAGCUUGAUGAGAUUCGAGAUUGCUUCUAGCCAAAUCGCUCAACAAGAAGACUUAAGAAUUUUCUUUGCUCUAGGGGCAAACCGACUCAUAUAUUUCAUGAACUAAAAAAAUUACAAGGCUGCUUAUAGUGGGGAUUAAAUACCCUGCUGCUAUGCCCUUCUAGGGGACUUUGAAGCAAAUCAACAUGGACUCUCUUGGACUCUAAAAAUCGACAAGGCCUAGACAAGAAUGGGCCGACUCUUCUUGGACAACUAAAGCAAAGGCUAAACAAAUGGCUUUGAAUUAUUGGACUCAAAUAAAUAAAAAGGACUUAAACAAUUUGCCCAUAAGUUCAUGCAAUUGAAAUUAAAAGAAAGAACCAACACAAACCAAAAACAAUAAACCGGUUAGAAAUCAUAAAUGAAAUCUUACCUUCUUACCUUAAAUGGAAUGAGGCGGAUUACUCAGAACCGGCUGGGAUUGGGACAGGGUCUGAACCGAGAUCACAUGUAGAGAUGGUUAGGCCGGUUCGGUUCUGGGCGAGUGAUCUGAAUUGGAUUGGACCGGCUUGAUCUUGAACCUCUAUUGGACCGGCUUGAUCUUGAAUCUUCAAUUGGAUCAUCUCUUCAAUUAGUAACUCUUCCUGACCGGUUUGAACAUUUUGAUCAAGGAUUUGUUGGACAGCUUUAGAGAAACCGAGUCUUAUGGCCCUGGCUCCACUCCGGGUAGUCGGACCACACCUAACCACGGGAACCUCUAUUUGGAUGGCCGCAUCAGGUUCGGAGAUUUUCGUAUUAAUAAUCAAACAUAUAAAAUAGUUUGGCAAUUACAAAAAGUAAAGAGAUUGUUUAAACAAGGUCAUCUAAACAAAGUCUUUUUGAUGGGAUUUAAGAUCGUCAAAAGGGGAUCUCCUCUCAAGAGAAGAGGUUGUCCAUGAUGAAUAUUUGUGGUGGUGGUCGAUGUUGACGAUCUCUAAAUGUAGAAUGUUUAUACGAUUAUGCUUUUGAAUGAAUAGUGAUAGUUUUUCACGUAAACACGAUUUGUCAGUCAACAAGGUAUAUUUUCUUAUAUAGGUUGGGCUUGGUUUUGGUUCUAACAUUCUAAUGAGUCGUGUGUUAGAAUAAUCUCCAACAACUAUGAUCAUUUGGAAUGUUGUAAAUACUGAAAGCAUUCUUGUAUAUUUUUCAGUGAGAACUCGAAUUAGUGAAAUAUUCCUAAGUGGUGAUGCAAUGCAAGGUAAUGUUUUCGGACAUAUUCUAGUAAAUGAUGAGGACCAUGAGGUUGGUUUCAUGGGAAGAAGUUAAUGAUAGUUAAGAUAUGUUAUUGGUGUCAAAAUAAUCUCCGAGCCCAGAAAAAAUUGAGAAGGCUCAAGCGGAGCUUGGGUAUUUAACAUUGAUACUCCUUUAUGCGAUGUUCAAAGUAAACACUUCAAUUUUCUAAAGCUAUCAGUUAACUCAAAUGUGUACCAAAGACACUUGUCUUAACACGCAGCAAGUAGAGUUGUUAACCAGUGUACCUCUCAGUUAGGUGAUUGUUGGUAGCCAUAAGUAUAGUCGGAAGAUUGUUCACGUCUUGAACGACCACAUAUGGAACCUCUUCCAACACACAUCAGUGACAGCAGAAUUAAAUAUGCAAUUUAUGGUCAACCAUAAAUUGUUUUCCUCUCUCAACUCCUCCAUUGUACUUUGAUUGCCAUAUUACCAAAUGUAAAAGAUAGAUGGGUUGGUGAAGUUUUUAAUAAGAUGAUUUAUGUGAAUAAAGUGUAACUUUUGGUUCAUGAAUGUAAAUAAUUCAAUUUCUUUUCCCAGUAUGUUUUUCAAUUUAACUUAAACUCUUGAUUAGUCUCUUCUAUUUAGUGGUAAUAGUUUAACUUAACAUUUUCUGGAAAAAUAACAGAAAAACGGUUAACACUUCCAAGAAUCUGAGAGAGAGAGAAUUCGACAAAGAGUUUCUCUUCAGUUUUCAACAACACAUUACAACAAGACAUAAAACAACCUAAAUAUGAUAAUUAAAAGUGAAAAGAAAAUGACUAAAAGAGAUCAAGGAUUUCUGAAAUGGAGGUGUUGCAUAGAGGACAGUUUCCUCUUUGAACCCAAAGCUCUCUCGAACACAACCUGCAGAACGUAUGACCACACGGUAUAAACGCUGCUCCUUUGCUUCUUACCAUACAAACACAACAACUUAUCUCCGCCGCCGCCGCAGUCUCCUCCACCACUCCUCUCUCCUCUUCCUCCCCGUCUCCUCCUACUUCUACCAAGCUCAUUUGCCCUUCGUUCUCAUCCAACAACUCCAUCAACGACAUCCUCGCCGGCUGCAUGUCUGUCGUCACCGGCGGCGUUUCCUCUUCCCUCGCUGAUAACGCUCUCUCCUCCGCCAACACCACUCCUAACUGUAACCUCCCCUCCGCCGUUACUCCGCCGCUGGAAGCAGACUCCGGUUGCGAUUGUCCUCCUUCGUUUCUGGAGUUGGAGAGUAGAGAACCGAGCUGGUGACUAUCACUAUUGCGUUUGAGGCGGAGCUUUUCGCGUAGAGACUUCCAAGCGGUCUUGUCUCGGUGGCUGCUGUAGUCGUGUCGGUGCUCUCUCUGCAUUACAUCAAGAAGUGUCCGAUUUGAUUGGUUCCUAGACGGCAGAGGCUGCGGCGGGGUUCCGUUUCUGUCGGCCAUUAGAAUAGCUUCGAGAGUCAACCCCGGUAACGAGCUCCGGCCAGUCUCCAUACAAUCUAGUAACGUCACUCUCAGCCUAUCACCACCGUCCAUUUGCAUCAUCUUUUACGGAGUCAAGAGAGAAUAUAGAAUGAGAUUGUGAACUGAAAAACGCAUAUUCAGGACAUAUGCUUUCUACAAGAUACAUGUGGCAAAGAAGCUACAUAUAUGCUGCAUCUAUUGAAACGCUAAAUUAAGCUAACAAUGAAGAAGGUUAAGAGAGAGAGAGAGAGAGAGUCAUACUUAUCCAGUGAACAAAGUGGGGCUCAGUGAAGUAACGGUAGAUCCAGUUUAGGAUGUACAAUCCCCUGUACCCACUGCAAGAAGAUGACAAUCAAGAGAAGUCAAAGGAAGAAGAAGCAAUAACACUAAUCAAAGAAAGCGAGCUUGUUGUACCCAAGGAGAAAAAUGUAUUGGCCAGUCAAGUUAUCGAUAUUUCUAGUCCUUUGCAGCAAGACAAGCUGAGGUAAUAUAGCAACAGCUUCCAAGUACAAUGAAAACGUCCAGAGCACCUCAAGAAAGGUGAACUUCUCGUGGAUGAGAAGAGCCAAGACAAGGCAAGGAAGCACAAGGAACCAGUGGCGAAACGUAUCCUGCUCCCUGUCGUAAGUCCUGUGGACAGCCUUAUGGUACCUCAUGUACCAGACAAUCGAAAAGGAGCUCCCUAAGAAGACCAGCUUCAUGAAGGUGUUGUAGACAGACACGAAGCUCGUGAAAAUGUCCAAGUAACGCGUAGCGAACACAAUGGCGUAGAGCUCUUGCGUCCUCAAUGACACACCUGCAAGUUAAUUAACCGUUACAAACGAAUCAUUCAGAUCAUACGGUCAACGUCAAUUUUAACCUAAACUUAUCAUCGGAAUGGGAAAUGAAGAUACCGGCGCAGGAUUUGAUGGUGUGGAUCUUGAGGAGCAAGACGAGAACACUGGCCAGGUGAGUCAUAUCACCUGCUAAUCUGAAAAUGUUCAUCUUCUUUCGAUCUCUCUCUUCUUCCUUCUCUACACCACAAUCCGGGUUCGGCUCGUGCUAAGAUAGAUCUCGUUGGUGCCGUUUCCACAAACUUCUUCUCCCGUGUUUUUGCUUUUUUUCCCUCUGGUAAUGAAAGCCCAUUACUUCUCGUUGUGGGCUUUGUUCUUUUGGGUAACGAUAUCUUAUUACCCUACCCGAUUUUAUCGGUUUCAUACCUAACCGGUGUGUAUUUUGAUUAACCGAAAAUAAAAUAUACUUGCGUUUUAUUACCUGCCUUGUAAAUCUUCAAAACACGGUUUCAAUAUCAAACAAUUCUAUCACUAUAACCUGUUUGAUUUUCUCUGUGUCAACUGGUUACAUAGCAUAAUUAAGAACAAACUGGAUUGCAAAAUGGCUAUAUCCUAUAUGUUGUGAAUAAUGUCGAAUAAAUCAAAAAUAAAAUUCAAACUACUAUGGCUGAAAUUCAUUAUCAUACUAGCUAGUUUGAAUCGAUUUUGAUCUGAUUUUACAUAUAGUCAAGCAGAUAUCUAGAUACAAAAGAUCUAAUCAGAAUAUCCUACAUCGAUAUAUUAAAUAAAAAAUACAGUUUUUACCCUAUACAAAAUAUGGCAAUUCUCCUAAAACACAAGUUUUUAUCAAACACACAAGAAAAUGAUCAAAAUGUCAUUCAGUGAAGAGCAAAAAAUACUAAGUAAUCUUAAUAAUAAUACAUUUAAUAUAGCUACAAAUAUAAAAAUAUUUUUAUUUUAAAUUUUAUACCAUAGAUGUUAGAGCCAUUUGCACAGAAAAUAGUCAAUAAUUAUGAAAUUUGCAAGGAUAGAAAAGGGUAGUGGAAUCCAACAUUAGUAGGUCUAAAAUACACUGAUGGCCCUAUUAUUCAUUUUGUUAUGUUAAGAGGCAAGAGAAUCCCGUAGAAAUGAUUUUCUUAUGCAAAAAAAAUAGUAGACCCCACUAUUCAAGAAAUAUUAUUUUAUUUAAAAUAUUAUUCUGUUUUCUUUCUUCUCUUGUUUUACUUUUCUCUCAUUUUCUCAAUUUUCUUUAUUAGCUUUCAUAAUCUUCUUAUUUCAACUAUAAUAUUUACUAUUAUUACCAUAUGUAAUCUGUUCACAUAGCUUGCUAACAACGUUAUCUAUCCCGUCUAAUAAAAUAUAUAACCGUCUAUUAUAUUUGGUGCUCAUAUAGCUUGCUAACAAAAUAUGAACCAUUUAAUAAAAUACGAGGGUGUCUAAUAAAAUAUGUAACUGUCGAAUGACCCACUUGGCUACAUCGCACGAUUGAAAGAUUUGGGGUUGAUUCGCGAGGAUGUUUCUGUAAGUCUAAAAUGUUUGGGGUCAAAUUGAAAAGAACUAGAACGCCAGGGACAUGUCGUGCAAAAAAAUAGAAAGUCACCAUUGGAUAGAUCAACCUUUCUCUUCGCCGGAUCUUGAGCUUGAUGGAGAUGGCAAGGAGGAGCACGAUGGCAGUGCUUGAAUCCGAGCAUGACGACGUCGGUAGAGCAAAGCGACUAAAGAUCCGGUGACGAAGGAGUACGCCGUGUAAAUUUUGCAGCGGUCUCGCGACGGUCUCGACGUAAACAUAGGUGGAAGGUGAAGCACCGUCGUGAAGGGAUAAGCUUGACGGCGUACAUUCUGACGCGGCAGUGGAUGGAAGAAGUCGGAGCUCAGGUUCAUGGCGAGUCGGAGGUGGUUGCAGAAGAGGACAAGUGAAUCGAUGUGAAUUUUAAAUGAUUUCCGAUGUAGAUAUAAAAGAAGGUUAAAAGUUUCAACGGAGAACACAUUGUGGACUUACAAACAUAGCGGAGAAUAGGGGAUCAG